rnacentral:lncRNA from 1 species
CUCCCUCCUCAGCCUCCCAAAGUGCUGAAAUUAUAGGUGCAAGCCACCACAACUGGCCUCUUUACUAAUAUUUUUGUUUAUUGUUCUAUCAAUUAUGAGAGGGUGUUGGUAAAAUCUCCAACUAUCACAGUUUAUCUGUAUCUUCCUUUAGUUUAUGUAUACUAAAAGUUAGUAUACAUAAUAUGUUAUUAGGUGAUACAUAAUUAUUACAGUGUGUUAUUAGAUGAUAAAUAUUAAUGUAUCUUUCUAAUGUCUAAUGUCUUUCCUAACAUCUUUCAAUAAAUUGACUUGUUUUCAUUUUGAGAUGACCUUUUUAAUUUCUAGCUUUACUCUUUGUCUUUUAGCCUACUAAAUUGAUAAUCUUGUUGUUACGAAGAUAACCACACCAAUUUUCUUAUGCUUACAGUUUGAUGGAAUACUUAUUUUCAUUUUACUUUUUUUUUUUUUUUUUUUUAAUAGAGACAAGGUUUUACCAUGUUGGCCAGGCUGGUUUCAAACUGACCUUGUGAUCCACCUACCUCGGCCUCCCAAAGUGCUGGGAUUACAGGCGGCUCUGCCAAGACCUCCAUCCAAAGUUGGCUGGCGGCUCCCCUGCACUGUGAACCAGAGCUGCCGGGCGGGCGAGGUCACAGCCAGUUAUUAUCCCCUCCCACGCUGCUUAUCAAGCUUGGCCCUUUUCUCCUCCAGUGUGAAUGCUUGGGGCUCUUCGCUAUGCAAUGAAAAUAAACAGCAAUGUAAAUGGUCUCCUGGCUACUUGAUCCAAACCAAUACGGAAAACCUGCUUUACAAGCUUCCACUGAAACUUCUGGUAGAAUAAGCAACUGAUAGAUAAUUCUACACCAAAUGUCUGGCAUUUAGCCAGAACCAACAACUGUUCCCUUUUUUUGUAAGCCACAUUCUGGUGACCAUGGAAAGCCAAAAUAGUUAUUUUGAUUCUAGAGCAUUUUCUAAAGGAAGGUGAAAUCACAGUGCCAUUAUGCAAACUAACCAUAGGUUCAGGAUGAGGGAAAAAUUAGCGUAAAGACUUUAUCUUACUCCUAAAAAUCUCAAAUUAAAAAUUUUUAACUUGAAAGAAAUUGGUAGACUGCCAAUAAAAAUUUUUUUUAAAAACAGAGCUCACCA